rnacentral:rRNA from 1 species
UACGGGAGGCAGCAGUGGGGAAUAUUGCACAAUGGGCGCAAGCCUGAUGCAGCCAUGCCGCGUGUAUGAAGAAGGCCUUCGGGUUGUAAAGUACUUUCAGUCGUGAGGAAGGUGUUAAGGUUAAUAACCUUAGCAAUUGACGUUAGCGACAGAAGAAGCACCGGCUAACUCCGUGCCAGCAGCCGCGGUAAUACGGAGGGUGCGAGCGUUAAAUCGGAAUUACUGGGCGUAAAGGGCACGCAGGCGGUUAAUUAAGUUGGAUGUGAAAUCCCCGGGCUUAACCUGGGAAUGGCAUUCAAGACUGGUUAGCUAGAGUCUUGUAGAGGGGGUAGAAUUCCAUGUGUAGCGGUGAAAUGCGUAGAGAUGUGGAGGAAUACCGGUGGCGAAGGCGGCCCCUGGACAAAGACUGACGCUCAUGUGCGAAAGCGUGGGGAGCAAAACGAGGAUUAGAUACC